rnacentral:rRNA from 1 species
CUGACGAGUGGCGGACGGGUGAGUAAUGCUUGGGAAUCUGGCUUAUGGAGGGGGAUAACUACGGGAAACUGUAGCUAAUACCGCGUAAAAUCUUCGGAUUAAAGGGUGGGACUUUCGGGCCACCUGCCAUAAGGUGAGCCCAAGUUGGAUUAGGUAGUUGGUUAGGUAAAGGCUGACCAAGCCGACGAUCUCUAGCUGGUCUGAGAGGAUGACCAGCCACACUGGAACUGAGACACGGUCCAG